GACGAACGCUGGCGGCGUGCUUAACACAUGCAAGUCGAGCGGUAAGGCCCUUUCGGGGGUACACGAGCGGCGAACGGGUGAGUAACACGUGGGUGACCUGCCCUCAGCUCUGGGAUAAGCCUGGGAAACUGGGUCUAAUACUGGAUAUGACUCCACGGUGCAUGUCGUGGGGUGGAAAGCCUUGUGCGGCUGAGGAUGGGCCCGCGGCCUAUCAGCUUGUUGGUGGGGUGAGGCCUACCAAGGCGACGACGGGUAGCCGGCCUGAGAGGGCGACCGGCCACACUGGGACUGAGACACGGCCCAGACUCCUAC
rnacentral:rRNA from 1 species